rnacentral:rRNA from 1 species
UACGGAGGAUGCAAGCGUUAUCCGGAAUUAUUGGGCGUAAAGCGUCCGCAGGUGGCUGUGUAAGUCUGCUGUUAAAGAGUCUAGCUCAACUAGAUACAAGCAGUGGAAACUACACGGCUAGAGUACGUUCGGGGCAGAGGGAAUUCCUGGUGUAGCGGUGAAAUGCGUAGAGAUCAGGAAGAACACCGGUGGCGAAGGCGCUCUGCUAGGCCGUAACUGACACUGAGGGACGAAAGCUAGGGGAGCGAAUGGG